rnacentral:rRNA from 1 species
UAGGGAAUCUUCGGCAAUAGACGGAAGUCUGACCGAGCAACGCCGCGUGAGUGAAGAAGGUUUUCGGAUCGUAAAGCUCUGUUGUAAGAGAAGAACGAGUGUGAGAGUGGAAAGUUCACACUGUGACGGUAUCUUACCAGAAAGGGACGGCUAACUACGUGCCAGCAGCCGCGGUAAUACGUAGGUCCCGAGCGUUGUCCGGAUUUAUUGGGCGUAAAGCGAGCGCAGGCGGUUAGAUAAGUCUGAAGUUAAAGGCUGUGGCUUAACCAUAGUAGGCUUUGGAAACUGCUUAACUUGAGUGCAAGAGGGGAGAGUGGAAUUCCAUGUGUAGCGGUGAAAUGCGUAGAUAUAUGGAGGAACACCGGUGGCGAAAGCGGCUCUCUGGCUUGUAACUGACGCUGAGGCUCGAAAGCGUGGGGAGCAAACAGGAUUAGAUACCCUGGUAGUCCACGCUGUAAACGAUGAGUGCUAGGUGUUAGACCCUUUCCGGGGUUUAGUGACGCAGUUAACGCAAUAAGUAGACCGCCUGGGGAGUACGGCCGCAAGGUUA